AGAGUUUGAUCAUGGCUCAGAUUGAACGCUGGCGGCAGGCCUAACACAUGCAAGUCGAACGGUAACAGGAUAGCUUGCUAUCGCUGACGAGUGGCGGACGGGUGAGUAAUACUUAGGGAUCUGCCUCUGUGUGGGGGAUAACUAUUGGAAACGAUAGCUAAUACCGCAUAAUGUCUACCGACCAAAGCGGGCUUCGGCUCGUGCGCAGAGAGGAACCUAAGCGAGAUUAGCUAGUUGGUGAGGUAAAGGCUCACCAAGGCGACGAUCUCUAGCUGUUCUGAGAGGAAGAUCAGCCACACUGGAACUGAGACACGGUCCAUACUCCUACGGGAGGCAGCAGUGGGGAAUAUUGCACAAUGGGGGAUACCCUGAUGCACCCAUGCCGCGUGUGUGAAGAAGCCUUCCGGUUGUAAAG
rnacentral:rRNA from 1 species